UCAGGAUGAACGCUGGCGGCGUGCUUAACACAUGCAAGUCGAACGAAGCUCCCCGAUUUGAGUUUCGGACAAGAUGAAGGGAUGACUUAGUGGCGGACGGGUGAGUAAUGCGUGAGCAACCUGCCCUUCAGUGGGGGACAACAGUUGGAAACGACUGCUAAUACCGCAUAAAGUAUUCGGAAGGCAUCUUUUGAAUACCAAAGAUUUUAUCGCUGAAGGAUGGGCUCACGUCUGAUUAGCUAGUUGGUGAGGUAAUGGCUCACCAAGGCUGCGAUCAGUAGCCGGACUGAGAGGUUGACCGGCCACAUUGGGACUGAGAUACGGCCCAGACUCCUACGGGAGGCAGCAGUGGGGAAUAUUGGGCAAUGGGCGCAAAGCCUGACCCAGCAACGCCGCGUGAAGGAAGAAGGCUUUCGGGUUGUAAACUUCUUUUAGCAGGGACGAAACAAAUGACGGUACCUGCAGAAUAAGCACCGGCUAACUACGUGCCAGCCGCCGC
rnacentral:rRNA from 1 species